AACGAACGCUGGCGGCAUGCCUAACACAUGCAAGUCGAACGAACCCUUCGGGGUUAGUGGCGCACGGGUGCGUAACGCGUGGGAAUCUGCCCUUUGCUUCGGAAUAACUCAGGGAAACUUGUGCUAAUACCGGAUGAUGUCUUCGGACCAAAGAUUUAUCGGCAAGGGAUGAGCCCGCGUAGGAUUAGGUAGUUGGUGGGGUAAAGGCCUACCAAGCCGACGAUCCUUAGCUGGUCUGAGAGGAUGAUCAGCCACACUGGGACUGAGACACGGCCCAGACUCCUACGGGAGGCGGCAGUGGGGAAUAUUGGACAAUGGGCGCAAGGCUGAUCCAGCAAUGCCGCGUGAGUGAUGAAGGCCGUCGGGUAGUAAAGCUCUUUUACCAGGGAUGAUAAUGACAGUACCUGGAGAAUAAGCUCCGGCUAACUCCGUG
rnacentral:rRNA from 1 species